AGAGAACACUUGUAGAGUAUGGGUCACUCAAGUGCUUAUUUUAUGCAAUAAUACAAUAUUAUAAUGUUUCAUUUCAGAAACCCUAGACAUAAACGGAAUUAAAGUGCUACAAACUUGUGUAACAGAAAGGACUUCAGUAUGUGAAAGAAAAGCAGAGGCCCAGUGGGUAAACCUAACAUUCAAAGGAUGAUUCCUGAAACUGAACGUACAGAAGGAUAAGAGACCAAGCUCUCUCAUG
rnacentral:lncRNA from 1 species